rnacentral:misc_RNA from 1 species
GAUGAAGAACGCAGCGAAAUGCGAUACGUAAUGUGAAUUGCAGAAUUCAGUGAAUCAUCGAAUCUUUGAACGCACAUUGCGCCUGCCAGCACUCUGGCAGGCAUGCCUGUUCGAGCGUCAUUUCAACCAUCAAGCCCUAGGCUUGCGUUGGAGCCCUGCGGCUGCCGCAGGCCCCUAAAAGCAGUGGCGGGCUCGCUAUCACACCGAGUGCAGUAGAUUACUCUUCGCUCAGGGCGUGUGGCGGGUUCCAGCCGUGAAACCCCCCACUGUAACCCCAAAGGUUGACCUCGGAUCAGGUAGGAAUACCCGCUGAACUUAAGCAUAUCAAUAAGCGGAGGA